AAAAAAUGUGACAGCUGUAAUUAUUUUUCUAACCGGGCACUCAGUAGCGCCGUUCUCGGCAAUUAUUUUUUAAGUGUGUAUAUCAAAAAAUGUUGCAGCGCUGUACCAGUCCUGCUGCCUUAUUACCUGGAAUUCUAGAGAACAUGCCAGAAUUACGGUCCUUAUUGGCCAAAUGGUUGUGGAUGUGAUAGAUGCGAGCAAGCUGUCACCAUGGGCUGCAAAAAUGCGUGGCCUCUAGCUGCGAAGUUGUUGAUUGUGUGCGCAUGAGGGUUGCCACUACCAUAUUGUCAUUAUUUCCAGCAGAACCGUGUCAACAUUAGCGUAGAUAAACUGACAGUACCUAUUUCGUCUAACUUGAUGCUUACUCUACUGGGUCGAACAUAGCAACAUUAUAAAGGCCAAUCGAAUGCGCUACCCGGAGUCGGUAGAAGCUCAUUUGUUAUCCGUACACUUUUUCUGCUCUCCGCCUGCACCCCAGCAACAGCUCUCAAUUACUCUCACACUCCGUGGUCUAUGAAAAGCCACUUUCCGGCGGUUAAUGAAAAGAACAACAUGUCGCACUUCAUCAUUUAUGAGCGUUCUCCCUCGUGCGGGGGAUUAUACAGGGCGCGGGUUUUGCGUGCAACCGCGGCAAAAUUUCGAAUGCUAAAUAAUGUGAUUCCUCAGAAGCGAGAUUGCAGCAUUGACUUAUUAUUAUAUUUAUUCUUCUAUUGUACACACCCCGAAAAAAUUACCCUCGCAAGGUAAUUCCUUCACUAGCGAACAUCUCCAGCCUGCUAAGAACACGAAUUAAAUUUUCCAUCUACUACGAUGACUACGAUGAAUAAGAAAGGUGGACAAGCAGCAAACAAGCGGAGACAAGCAAAUCACUAGAAACACGGUCCUUUCAUUGUUUAUUGGGUGAACUGAGGGGUGGCAUACUGAGAUUCUCUUGCUUACUUCGCCGGAUGUUCCGAAUAGCUUUCCGGCACCUGGUAGCACAUAAUUCAUUUCACGGUUGAGUUAGAAAAUUAUGUUCAGUUCGGGUGCAUUUUUUCUGAAGA